rnacentral:rRNA from 1 species
UGAACGCUGGCGGCGUGCUUAACACAUGCAAGUCGAACGGAAAGGCUCCUGCUUGCAGGGGUACUCGAGUGGCGAACGGGUGAGUAACACGUGGGUGAUCUGCCCUGCACUUCGGGAUAAGCCUGGGAAACUGGGUCUAAUACCGGAUAGGACCACAUUUUGGAUGGUGUGGUGGAAAGUUUUUCGGUGUGGGAUGAGCUCGCGGCCUAUCAGCUUGUUGGUGGGGUAAUGGCCUACCAAGGCGUCGACGGGUAGCCGGCCUGAGAGGGUGUACGGCCACAUUGGGACUGAGAUACGGCCCAGACUCCUACGGGAGGCAGCAGUGGGGAAUAUUGCACAAUGGGCGCAAGCCUGAUGCAGCGACGCCGCGUGGGGGAUGACGGCCUUCGGGUUGUAAACUCCUUUCGCUAGGGACGAAGCGCAAGUGACGGUACCUGGAGAAGAAGCACCGGCUAACUACGUG